rnacentral:rRNA from 1 species
UACGUAGGGCGCGAGCGUUGUCCGGAAUUAUUGGGCGUAAAGAGCUCGUAGGCGGCUUGUCACGUCGGGUGUGAAAGACCGGGGCUUAACUCCGGUUCUGCAUUCGAUACGGGCUAGCUAGAGUGUGGUAGGGGAGAUCGGAAUUCCUGGUGUAGCGGUGAAAUGCGCAGAUAUCAGGAGGAACACCGGUGGCGAAGGCGGAUCUCUGGGCCAUUACUGACGCUGAGGAGCGAAAGCGUGGAGAGCGAACAGG